rnacentral:RNase_MRP_RNA from 1 species
GGGCAUUCAGAAGGCUUGCAAUCUGGGCUACAAGCUGAGAACCUAGUUUCUCUCACUCGCCCAGGGGAAAGUCCCCGGACAAAUGGCAGAAAGUGUCCUGGUUGAAUCCAGUAUUGGCUCGCGCUCUACCGUACAUGAGCUGAGACGUUCGCACGAACCGAGCUUGGUGAUCGCGAGCCGACUUUGUCAGCGUUACUAGUAAUGCAAGUGUGCAGUAACACACGCAGAAACAGAACGGGGCUCAUUCUCGGAAUGCA